rnacentral:lncRNA from 1 species
CCUAGAAAGGAUAAGGCAGCAUUCAGAUAUUCGACCACUUGGUAUGUAGCAGUCGGAAAAAAAAACCCCUCAACUCAUCAAUGUUACUGUCAUAUGAGCAAGACAUUUAAACAAAUUUUUGGUGUACAGGUUAGCAAACAAGCAAGGAAAUUAUUGUAGAUAAAAUUUGAGCAGCAAAAUGUUAGGAGAAAAGAAGAAGAGAUGACAGAAGGCCGAGGGAGAGAAACAGAUCUACAGGCCUAACAGCAGUACGUGACCAAAAGGCAUCAAAAUUUCUUAUAAUUCCAGAACAAUUAAACUCGACUCCAAAUCAAAGUAUAACAGUAGUAGUAUAUAGAGUUGUACUGACAUUGGACACUCAUAGACAAACUAUCAGCAAUCAAAAUUGGUGCAAGAAAAGCAAAGAAAGAGAGAAGAGAAAGGGAAUAAAGAAAAAAGGAGAUGGAAAACAGAGAGGAAGGACCGAGAAGGAGGAGCUUCUUCGGCACUAUUCUGUCAUCAACCUUGAAGCAUCAAUGUUAAGGUCAAGCCGAGACCCUCGAGAGGCUGCCAUUCUCCCACCAAAUACUCAAUUUUCUGCCUAACGGAAAUGAAAACCCUACACCCCUUUAAUAUUUUGGCUCAAAGCAAUUAUUCAUAAAGAUUACCCAAAUACCCCCAUCACAACUAACUGACUAAUGAGUUUAUGCCUCACCUAAUUAAUUUAAAUGCGUUUAACUAAAAAAACCCCAAAAUAGUUGAAUGUGUUUACGCCUUGUGUAGACUUUAAACACCGCAUCACCUAUCUUCCGGAUUCCAACAGGAUUUCUUAUACAGAUAUUAAUUAAAUUAAUUGCCAUACCAUUUCCAGCCUAUUUGGGGAUUACCAAAAGUAUAACACUGAACAACCUACAAUUCAGAAAAUUUACAAAUCACCAAAUAUGUGUAAUUACCAAAACA